AUUCUAAAUGGAUUUAUGGCGAUUGAUGAGUCAUUUGUAUCUAUAAAUUUCUGCUUUAAAACUAACGUUGAAAUGAGAUUAAGCCAUAACGAUGAAGUUUUCAGGUGUAUUUGUCAUCUUUUUCCUUUUGGUAUCCUUGGAAUUUUUCUCAACACCUGUGAAUGGUUUUCUAUGGUGGGGCGGAAGAACAAAAAAGAAAACGGUUAUAAAAGAUGGAGACUUUAAAUUCAAAGAGGUGGAAGUUUCCCAUGGCCAUCAAUCGCCAAGGUAAGAGGCCAUUGGUGCUACUGUUGGUCCAGCUUCAUUCAAGUGAUCAGUUGAAAAAGAUGUAUGAAUUAUGGAAAACUUAGAAUGAAAAUAAACCUAUGUGCACUUA